GAAAAAACUUCAUUCCUGAUUGCAUAAGUUGACAAUACUGCCUAAAAGAAGGAAGCAGUCUACUAAAGGACCUGACCUAGACAGUGAGAAAUUCAUCUCCAUGAAUCAGAAGUAUGACUGUAGUGCCCAUCUUACUAGGAGACUCUCUUCCUUGCUGACUUGGAGGAAGCAAGUAGUCAUAUGGGGAAGAUCCAGAUGGCAAGGAACCAAAGGCAACCUCCUGCCAACAGCCAUUGAUAAGGUGAGGUUGUUAGUCCAGUAGCCACAAGGAACUGAGUGCUACCAAGAAUAAUGUUGAUUGGAAGCAAAUCCAUCCUGUGUCAAUCUUCAGAUGAGACGGCAACUCUAAAUGACACCUAACUGGAGCCUUGUAAGACCCAGAAGCAAAAGACACAGCUCAGUCAUGCCUAGGCUCCUAACUCACAGAAACUGUGAUGUAAUAAAUGUGUGUUGCUUUUAGCCACUGUAUUUUUGUUCAUAUUGUUCCAUAAUAAUAGAUAACUGAUACAAUAUUCAGAAGUAGACAUUUUAUUUUGAGUUGCUCCUGAAGCAGGACUGACUUGUUAAGUUGCCAGGAAUGCUCAUUUUUUAUCAUGUAAACGUCAGUAAAAAACCACCAAUGCCUUGUUCUUUCCAUGGGUUUAAAUCUAAACUACACAACAACUUAACCUACAACCUAAGGUUUCCCACUAACCAGGCAAACUCGCCGUUUAUGUACUCAGUCUCAUCUCUUUAUUUUUCUUCUACUCAACUCUUUGGCCAAGCCACUUUAUCUACAUUUCCUUACAAUUUCUUUUGCGAAUGAAAGUAAAUCAGAAGCAUUUGUUGUUUUUGUCAUUUCCAAUACCCUACUACUCAUAUUAAUGCUAUGUGUUUAAGAUUUCUAGAUUUGUUGACUGUAUACAUAUGGAAUGGGAUACAGGAAUAAAAGUUUCGAGAUUCUGUUAUGAAUGUGUGAGUAACGUAAAAACUGUGACCUUUCCUCUAAUUUCAUUUCAUCAUUUUUAAAAUAAGUAAUAACAUUAACUGUUUUUAAACGUGCAGCAAUUAUACUAGGAUGUAAGAUUUUAAGUUCACUAUGCAAUUUUUCCAUAGAGCAGUACUUAUGUGUAGAUGAUAAUUCAUGUACAAGUCCAAUAUUACUU
rnacentral:lncRNA from 10 species